CUCUCCUACGGGACGCAGCAGUAGGGAAUAUUGCUCAAUGGGGGAAACCCUGAAGCAGCAACGCCGCGUGGAGGAUGAAGGUUUUAGGAUUGUAAACUCCUUUUGUGAGAGAAGAUAAUGACGGUAUCUCACGAAUAAGCACCGGCUAACUCCGUGCCAGCAGCCGCGGUAAUACGGAGGGUGCAAGCGUUACUCGGAAUCACUGGGCGUAAAGAGUGCGCAGGCGGGCUUGUAAGUCAGAGGUGAAAACCCGGAGCUUAACUACAGAACUGCAUUUGAAACUAUGAGUCUAGAGUGUGGGAGGG
rnacentral:rRNA from 1 species